AGGAUUCCCUACUUAAUAAAUGGUGCUGGGAAAACUGGCUAGCCAUAUGUAGAAAGCUGAAACUGGAUCCCUUCCUUACACCUUAUACAAAAAUUAAUUCAAGAUGGAUUAAAGACUUAAACAUUAGACCUAAAACCAUAAAAACCCUAGAAGAAAACCUAGGCAAUACCAUUCAGGACAUAGGCAUGGGCAAGGACUUCAUGUCUAAAACACCAAAAGCAAUGGCAACAAAAGCCAAAAUUGACAAAUGGGAUCU
rnacentral:lncRNA from 1 species